UACGGAGGAGGCAAGCGUUAUCCGGAAUUAUUGGGCGUAAAGCGUCCGUAGGUGGCUCUUCAAGUCUGCUGUCAAAGAGUGGGGCUUAACCCUGCAAAGGCAGUGGAAACUGAAAGGCUAGAGAGCCGUAGGGGUAGAGGGAAUUCCCGGUGUAGCGGUGAAAUGCGUAGAUAUCGGGAAGAACACCAAAGGCGAAAGCGCUCUGCUGGGCCGAAACUGACACUGAGAGACGAAAGCUAGGGGAGCGAAUGGG
rnacentral:rRNA from 1 species